rnacentral:misc_RNA from 1 species
UCGUAACAAGGUUUCCGUAGGUGAACCUGCGGAAGGAUCAUUACUGAGUGAGGGCCCUCUGGGUCCAACCUCCCACCCGUGUUUAUUGUACCUUGUUGCUUCGGCGGGCCCGCCUUUAUGGCCGCCGGGGGGCUUACGCUCCCGGGCCCGCGCCCGCCGAAGACACCCUCGAACUCUGUCUGAAGAUUGUAGUCUGAGUGAAAAUAUAAAUUAUUUAAAACUUUCAACAACGGAUCUCUUGGUUCCGGCAUCGAUGAAGAACGCAGCGAAAUGCGAUACGUAAUGUGAAUUGCAGAAUUCAGUGAAUCAUCGAGUCUUUGAACGCACAUUGCGCCCCCUGGUAUUCCGGGGGGCAUGCCUGUCCGAGCGUCAUUGCUGCCCUCAAGCACGGCUUGUGUGUUGGGCCCCGUCCUCCGAUCCCGGGGGACGGGCCCGAAAGGCAGCGGCGGCACCGCGUCCGGUCCUCGAGCGUAUGGGGCUUUGUCACCCGCUCUGUAGGCCCGGCCGGCGCUUGCCGAUCAACCAAAAUUUUUUCCAGGUUGACCUCGGAUCAGGUAGGGAUACCCGCUGAACCUAAGCAUAUCA